AUUCCCACCCCUCUAUUUUCCCUAGCCGCCAUUUCUUCUCUCCCUGGUUUCUUCCCCCACGCGCAGCAGGCAGAGCGCAGCGAGCUCGCCGGCGUCCAUGGCGUGGCACCUCUGCUCUCCCUCUCGCAGCGCCCCCUGCUCCUUCUCCCUCGCACAGCAGCAGCCGAGCGCCCUCCCUGCUCCUCCUCCUGGCGAGCGGCUGCAGCAGGGAGUCGUCUUCUCCGUGGUCGGCCAGCAAUCGAGCUCCCCAGCGUUUCCCUCUGCUGUCCAUGGCGUGGGCGAGCUCUGAUCCAUGGCGCCCUCCUCCCCUUCUUCUUCCUCAAGCCAGCAGGCGCCUCCCCCUACUCCCUGGGCACAGCGCCCCCUUCUCUCCCCUUGGUCACGGCUUCCUCUGCUUCUUGCUCCAUGGCGCCCUGAAUUUUCAGCAGAGAGCUUUUUUUCCCCAUUGCCGACCCCCACUAUUGCAGACUGAGCCCCAGCGUCGCCCAGCAGCCAUGGCGCCCAAGCUCUCUGCUCCCAUCUCCUCCUUGGCGCAGUGGGAGAAGCUCCCAUGGGCGCCACCCCCCUGCAGCUUCGCCUUGCCGGCGCCCAGAAAUUGCAGCAGCAGCUCCUCCCCUCUCUCCAUGGCCGACGCUCAGAGCUCCAGCAGCCGCUCCUCCAACUCCCCAUGGCGUACUGCAGCAGACGCCUUGGAGCAACCCCGCCAUGGCUUGCGACUCGGUGUCCUCCCUGCUUGCGUGCUGCUGCGCAGUGCCCAUGGUGCUUGCUAGGUGCUCGACGAAAUGUGCGGCAACCCCGUCGUCUUCGUGCGCUGUCGACUCGCUGUUUGGUUGAGCCAAUGGACAACACGCCGUGAUGCCGCCGUGUGUUCGCUGUUUUUGCGCAGCCCCGAACAUCGACGUCGUUCACCCCGGUGAGAUCGCGACGCUCCUUGUUUGGUUCCGCAUCGGCGUUAUUUUCAUACGAUUAAUUGUGUAUGUGUGCUGUUUUAUUUUUGUGGAGGAGAGAACCCCGUGUUUUGCGAGAAGAAGGGAAGCCGCUCGACGCUCGUCGAUGUUCGUAGCGAUGCACAAAUCGGAAUCUCCAUCGUCCUCACAAACAUCGAUUGGGUUUGUUUAUGGACCGAGAGAUGCUGAUCGUGCAAGUGAUGUGGUGCCAACAACAAGAUGCAGUUGGUGGACGACCUAAAGAGUGAUGGACUUAACCAGUGGAUGCUCGCCAAGCGAGUACCUCCCCCAGCAAACACUAUCUAAGUGUUAAAAAUUAAAGGUACUCCUUAGGAUGAUUGGUUGAUGGUGUGACUUGGCCUUCAUCCCUGCCACCGGGAUAGACGGUCGAGUGGGUUAUUGCUUCCGCAGGAGAGGACCCGGAGGAGUAGCGUGGCCAGGCUUCGCCAUGUUACUCGGUUUUCUCCGUUAGUUAUUUCCGCUGCAUUAAAAUUUAUGGUUAUUAUUUCUGAAACUCCGAUAAUGUAAUCACUAAUUAUACUUAUUAAAUUUGUGGUAUUAUGUUUUA